rnacentral:misc_RNA from 1 species
GAUGAAGAGCGUAGUUAAAUGCGAUACUUGGUGUGAAUUGCAGAAUCCCGUGAACCAUCGAGUCUUUGAACGCAAGUUGCGCCCGAAGCCAUUAGGCCGAGGGCACGCCUGCCUGGGCGUCACACGUCGUUGCCCCCCCAUCUACUCCUUCGGGAUUGCGGGGGGCGGAUGAUGGCCUCCCGUGCGCCUCGUCGCGCGGUUGGCAUAAAUGCCAAGUCCUCGGCGACGCACGCCACGACAAUCGGUGGUUGCGAAACCUCGGUUGCCCGUCGUGUGCGGUCGUCGCGCAUCGAGGGCUCGAAAAAAUUGCCGGGCUCCGGCUCGGCUUUCAACGCGACCCCAGGUCAGGCGGGGUUACCCGCUGAAUUUAAGCAUAUCAAUAAGCGGAGGA